rnacentral:rRNA from 1 species
UAGAGUUUGAUCCUGGCUCAGAGCGAACGCUGGCGGCAGGCCUAACACAUGCAAGUCGAACGAACUCUUCGGAGUUAGUGGCGGACGGGUGAGUAACACGUGGGAACGUGCCUUUAGGUUCGGAAUAACUCAGGGAAACUUGUGCUAAUACCGAAUGUGCCCUUCGGGGGAAAGAUUUAUCGCCUUUAGAGCGGCCCGCGUCUGAUUAGCUAGUUGGUGAGGUAAAGGCUCACCAAGGCGACGAUCAGUAGCUGGUCUGAGAGGAUGAUCAGCCACAUUGGGACUGAGACACGGCCCAAACUCCUACGGGAGGCAGCAGUGGGGAAUCUUGCGCAAUGGGCGAAAGCCUGACGCAGCCAUGCCGCGUGAAUGAUGAAGGUCUUAGGAUUGUAAAAUUCUUUCACCGGGGACGAUAAUGACGGUACCCGGAGAAGAAGCCCCGGCUAACUUCGUGCCAGCAGCCGCGGUAAU